rnacentral:rRNA from 1 species
AACAAGGUCUCCGUUGGUGAACCAGCGGAGGGGUCAUUAUCGAGUUAUUCAACUCCCAAACCCUAUGUGAACUUACCACUUGUUGCUUCGGCGCGCGCUUCGGCGCCGCCGAGGACACUUAAACUCUUUGUUUUUAUAAGCAUUUCUGAGUGGCCGAAAGGCAAAAAUACAAAUGAAUCAAAACUUUCAACAACGGAUCUCUUGGUUCUGGCAUCGAUGAAGAACGCAGCGAAAUGCGAUAAGUAAUGUGAAUUGCAGAAUUCAGUGAAUCAUCGAAUCUUUGAACGCACAUUGCGCCCGCCAGCAUUCUGGCGGGCAUGCCUGUUCGAGCGUCAUUUCAACCCUCGAGCCCGACUCUUUUGAGGACGGCUCGGCGUUGGGGGACGGCAGACUCCCCCCGGCAUCUCGCCGGGGACGCCGCCCCCGAAAUCUAGUGGCGGCCCUCCGAGGCGACCUCUGCGUAGUAACUUGUUCUCGCACCGGAAAGCUCAGAGCGGCCACGCCGUAAAACCCCAACUUUUUUCAGGUUGACCUCGAAUCAGGUAGGACUACCCGCUGAACUUAAGCAUAUCAAUAAGCG